rnacentral:rRNA from 1 species
UAUGUGAUCGUCUCUCGCAUAUCAAUAAGCGGAGGAAAAGAAACUAACAAGGAUUCCCCUAGUAACGGCGAGUGAAGCGGGAAGAGGCUCAAAUUUGAAAUCUUAAAGGGUUUCCCUUUACGAAUUGUAGUUUAAAGAAGUGUUUUCUGUUGAGGUUUUGGUAAAAGUUCUUUGGAAUAGGACAUCAUAGAGGGUGAGAAUCCCGUAUUUGACCUUUACUUUCAACUUUGUGAUACACUUUCAGAGAGUCGGAUUGUUUGGGAAUGCAGUCCAAAAUGGGUGGUAAAUUUCAUCUAAAGCUAAAUAUUGGCGAGAGACCGAUAGCGAACAAGUACCGUGAGGGAAAGAUGAAAAGAACUUUGAAAAGAGAGUUAAACAGUACGUGAAAUUGUCAAAAGGGAAGCGUUUGACACCAGUGUUGUUUUUCUGAAAAUCAAUUAAAGAACUGUUUAUGCUAAGUUGUUUAGACUUUAUCAGCUAUCUGUUUAGUUUUGAGCUUUUCUUUAAUGCACUUUUCAGUUAACAAGUCAACAUCAAUUUCUUUUGCUGUAAAAAAGCUUGAGGAAGGUGGCUUGAGAUUCGUCUUAAGUGUUUAUAGCCUCUUGCCUAUGCAGUCGGAGAGAUUGAGGUCUGCAGCGUAGAUCCUUCGGGGCUAAAUGCAUUUGUGCUAAGUUAUAGCAUUUUAUAGACAACUUGUUGACUAUGAUUUGUCUUGUAGCUUACUCGCUUAUGUUAUUUUACCUACGCUUAGGAUGUUGACUGAUAUGUAGUCGUA